GAUGAACGCUGGCGGCGUGCCUAAUACAUGCAAGUCGAACGAACGGACGAGAAGCUUGCUUCUCUGAGGUUAGCGGCGGACGGGUGGGUAACACGUGGAUAACCUACCUAUAAGACUGGGAUAACUUCGGGAAACCGGAUCUAAUACCAGAGAAUAUUUUGAACCGCAUGGUUCAAAAGUGAAAGACGGUCUUGCUGUCACUUAUAGAUGGAUCCGCGCUGCAUUAGCUAGUUGGUAAGGUAACGGCUUACCAAGGCAACGAUGCAUAGCCGACCUGAGAGGGUGAUCGGCCACACUGGAACUGAGACACGGUCCAGACUCCUACGGGAGGCAGCAGUAGGGAAUCUUCCGCAAUGGGCGAAAGCCUGAUGGAGCAACGCCGCGUGAGUGAUGAAGGUCUUCGGAUCGUAAAACUCUGUUAUUAGGGAAGAACAUAUGCGUAAGUAACUGUGCACAUCUUGACGGUACCUAAUCAGAAAGCCCCGGCUAACUACGUG
rnacentral:rRNA from 1 species